rnacentral:rRNA from 1 species
GGAAGGAAGGGGCCACGGCAGGUCAGUAUGCCCCGAAACCCUAGGGCUACACGCGGGCUGCAAUGGUAUUGACAAUGUGUUCCGAAUCCGAAAGGAGGAGGCAAUCAUCAAACAAUAUCUCAGUUAUGACUGAGGGCUGUAACUCGCCCUCACGAAUAUGGAAUCCCUAGUAACCGCGCGUCACUACCGCGCGGUGAAUACGUCCCUGCUCCUUGCACGAAUUCGCCG